AUGAAAACUUAAGUUGGCGCCUCCCCUCAAUUUUUCAUGAAAUUUGAACUUCCCGCUCACGGCUUGCAACCCUACAAAUUAUAGUAUUUCUUCCUCUUAUUCCCUCGUUUAUCAGCCAACAAGUUUACACAUGUGAGACGCCGACUAGAUCGAACCAGCAACCACGUCCUGCAUAUAUAAGUCGAUGCACCUGCAGUUGUUCUGCAAACCUCUGUUUUAAGCAAGACGAACAGAGCAAUAUUGUUCUCCAAAUUAACCGAGCCACCGAGGGCCAUGUCUUGCUGCAGUUGGGCCACGAAACCACCGCAAGCAGCAACAGAAGACGCCGGAAAACAAGCCUCCACCGCCCAGUUGAUGUUCAGCACCACUGUCCGCAACUCCCACGCCAUUUUACGCUACAGUACUGCCGCCUCCCAGCCACCUUGCGCCGCCGCUUCGUAGCUGCUCUCAUGCAUGGAGAGUCUCCGUCGCACAUGAGCCUCUGUUUGGUUCUUCUCUCAUGGACUUAACGCCUCUCUCAUUUUUCAUCUGUCUAUGCUCUUCAUCAAUCUUUGCUUCUUCAUGUUCAUGCAUGCUUGUUUGUUGAUGUAGUUUGUUGAACUUUUUGGGGGACUGCAUGCAUUGGAGGAUCAAAAAUCCUGAUCUCAAAUUUAUUGCUUAUUUCAAGAUAUGAGUACUUCUUCAAUGAUAUUCAUAUUUCUUCUUAUAUUAUUUUAUAUAACUUGCCACCCCAUACGGCAUAAACGUUGACAUGAAGAAAUGCAGAAAGUCAUGGGGAUUAACAUUUCUCUCUGUCCCUAUGAUAAUUAUUUUUUUGUUUUUAGAGCGUAUCAUGCCUUACAAUAUUUUCGACAAAAAGAAUUGGCCGGUUGGUUGGAUCUAAUUAAUACAGUGAAUUAAUUAUAGCAAAUAUAUGUAUGUUUGGAAAAGGGAAAUAAAAAGAUCAUUGCUUCUUAUUUUGUUAAUUUUUUUCCACUUUCCAUCUAUUAUCUGACAAUUUCUGAUGUCUCUCGCUCAUCCAUAGGGAAGUUAUGGUACUAGAAGCACUUCUGCAAUAUUGUUUGUGAAAGGAAGAGAUGAAGUAGACUUUUACAAGAGGCAUCUGGGGAAUGAACUCGUGGAAAGCCGUGCAACUUCUGUUUGGCUAAUCUCAUAUAUAUAUGUAACAAAGUUUCAAAAUGAUUUGUGAGUUAAAAUGCUCGGGGUUUCAUCACAUGUAAUGAUUUUAUAUAUAGUUGUUAUUAAAUGACUUUCAUGUGAUUUGAUUUGUAACUUUUUUAUAUUAUAUGAAUAAUGAUCCAUUAUAUCA